rnacentral:RNase_P_RNA from 1 species
CGAGUUAGCCAGACGGUCGCAUGAAAUAUUUGAGGAAAGUCCGAGCAUCACAGGGCAAGGGUGCCGGGUAACUCCCGGUGGAGGCGACUUUAAGGACAGUGCAACAGAAAAAUACCGCCGCUUUAUGCGGUAAGGAUGGAAAGGCGAGGUAAGAGCUCACCCGCAAUUUGGCGACAAUGCGCGAUGUAAACCCCACCCGAUGCAAGAUUGGAGCAUAACGUGUAGCCCGCACGCUCCGCACAUCGCUUGAACGGCGCAGAAAUGCGUCGUCUAGAUAGAUGACCGUCCAAUACAGAACUCGGCUUACAGACUAAUCUCGCAUA